AAGUGUUACAACUCUUUUAGAAUUUGUCUAGCAGGUUUUCUGACUUCGGUCGGAUACUCCUCC
rnacentral:snRNA from 2 species